rnacentral:misc_RNA from 1 species
UAUCAAUUGAAUAUUUACCUUGCCAAAUUUCACAGAAAUAGAACAAAUGAGGAAUUUGAAUUGCCAAACUAACAGUAGUCAAUAAAUUGCAUUAGGAAUUCAAAUUCAUUAUUCCCAAAUGCAUAAAAAUUUUACGGUGUUACUAGUCAAUCAUGGAUGACAGAAUUCAAAAAUUUUUGAAACAUUUUUUUUUUUGGUUCUUAACUAGGCAAGUGGAUUGCCAGCAAGAAAUGCUUUAAAUAAUGCUAGUGAUCUCUUGGGCGAUGAUGAAGGUGACAUGUGAGACCCUCCUCUAAUAGUUGCAAACGUAAGGAUCUCUCCAUAUACUUGCGUCCAUCCGCCAACCUGUUUAUCUUGAAACCAAGGUCGAUAAGUCACAGUUGCAUUCAAUCCCAACUUCUUUGCCAAACCAUUUACCAAACUCCUUGACCCAGUAAAUGGAACAACUGAAUCUUGAUCUCCACUGUACACUAGAACUGAGAUGCCUGAACUGACCAAUGAGCCCACGACAUCAAUCAUAGGUAUUUCCAGGUUUUUCAUGUCAUAGUUCAAUACCCUGUAAUUAAGAAAGUAGAACAUCAAUAAACCAAAAAAACAAAGGUCGAAUCAACGUCUCUUUUAUCUGCUUUACAACUGCAUGAUUAAAUUAAGUGUAGGCAGAAAGGAGCUUUACAGGGAGAAUAGAGAUAAGAACAGAUUUCCGCAAAAGGAUUAUUAUUUUUUUCUCCUGGGGGAGAGGAAUGCUAGAGUGUGAAUCCUUGUAUGUAUAUAUGCUCAAAACAAUUUGUAAAGAUAUCUAAAAUAAGUUCUAAGGUUCAGAAUUAUUGAUUACGGGCUGCAGAAACUCCAAUUGCUAACUCCUACAAGCUGGGCAUGAAGAGCUUCUUGCACAUCCUUCCUGUUCAGAUACAUAAAAGUCUUUUCUUGUACACAAACAUCUAUAUUUUCUGCAGAUUUCUGCAUACAUACAAGCAAAAUGCAAUAAUAAGUUUGCUGCAGAAUUAAAACAGCUUGCAGAAUUGGUUAGAUAGCUUACAGCUUGAUUUGGACUUUCUCCCAAUGAUUCACUGAAUAAUGAAAAAUGAAACCUUGGUCUCAAGGGAUGAUUGUAGACUCUUAGUUGUGAUUGGCCAUACGAUACACAUACAUCGGCAGUGACAUCAUAGUUGUCGAUCGCGUCAGGAAUUUCUUUCGAAAGUUGAGCAUUCACAGCUUUACAAGCAACUGAAGAUGAGCCACUUAUGUGCUCUCUGACGCGCUGUGAAGUGUUGCAAAUUGCAGUGAUAAGUUUAUAAGUAGAAUCUGAUAUCAACCCAUGAGACCAGUAGUAAUCACCCUGAGAGUUCAAGUCUGUACUGAAAUCCAGCAGAGGAUUUCCUAAAGCUAUGCUUUUCAAAUUGAAUUUUAAUCCUGACAGGACAAUUAGCUUUGCAAGUUGUGGUACAUAGUGACCUGCAUAGCUUUCCCCAGCGAUAAACAAAUCUCUACUUUUAUACUCAGGAAACUUGACAAACCAAUUUUGCAGGAAUUUCAGGUUGUCUUGUGCUGUGAUAGUGUCGUUCACAGAGUUAUAAAAAGAUGUAUUAGCAGAAUAAGAAAAGCCAACCCCUGCUGGUGAUUCCAGGUAUAGUAUGUUUGCUUCUUUAUUCCAACUGUAUUCAUUUCUGAUCAGAUUUUCUCCACCACUAGGCCUGAAAGGUCCAUGCUCUGAGAAUGCUCCAGCACCAACAGAAGAACAACCAGGCCCUCCAGUUAACCAAAGAACGAGAGGCUUUGAAGCAGGUUCAGUUUCUGCUUCAACAAAGUAAUAGAAAAGAGCUCUCUGUUGUUUUUCAUCAAUGGCAAUGUACCCUGCAUAUUGCUGGAAACUCACCUGUGGUUGGCCUGGCAAACUCACUAUUUUAUCAUCUUCUUUGGAGGGUAAUCCUACUGCUCCACAUAUUUGCAUUAACAUUAUGCAAAUUACAGCUUUUAUGAUCAUCCAUAACUGAGAUUUCAUUUGGUUGUUAAGAGAAAGAGAGAGGAGGGAGGGAGGAAGGGGAGCUCUGUGCUUUUUUGCAAGCUAAGUUGUAUUGUAGCUAGGAUCAAUGCUUACAGAAAUUAUGAAGAAUAUGCUAGUGGAAACGGAAGACAUAUAUACCCAAUCUAUUUAUAAAUAUUAUAUUAUAUAAAAUCA